GUGGCUCAGUUGGUAGAGCACUUGCCUAGUGUGCAUGAGGCCCUGGGUUUGAUCCCUAGC
rnacentral:tRNA from 1 species